UAAAAGACGAUAUAAGUUUUUGGAUGAUAAAGAGGGUAAUAAUGC
rnacentral:guide_RNA from 1 species